GAAGGGACCAGCCGAUGGGCGACGGCGCCGAUCUGGAAGAUCGCGUGAGCACCGCGAGGUGCCUUGGGGGUUCGACUCCCUCUCCCUUCG
rnacentral:tRNA from 1 species